AAUUAUUUUAAAUAAAAAAUAAUGACCAAAGUGUUAAAUUUUAAUACACUGAGGUUAAAAAUAUAACAAUUAUUGUUGUACUAUCGAAAUAUUAAAUAUUAUGGGGAAUUGUUAAUUAAUAAUCACAGAAUGAAACUUGUCUUCCAAUGAUGUCUUCCAACAUGAUAAUAAUAAUUAUAUAUCGCGAUUUAUUGAUCGAGACGAAACUUUGUUAAUAAUAUUAAACGUUAUAUAUUGAGAGUUGUAGCCGUUAAGCAUUAAAGGUUAAGGUCAAGGAUUAUUAAAUUUAAUAUAUAUAUAUAUAUAUAUAUAUAUACACACACAUAUAUAUAUAUACACACACACAUACGUAAUUCGUGACAAAAUUAGUCGUAAAAAUUAAUAUUAAUUCACUUUCGAGUAUCCUUUUAUUUAUUAUUAAACGCAAGAACAGGCAAUUUAUUUGUUAUCAUUUCAAACAUAACCAAAAAUUUCUCAAAAUAAUAAAUACGUUUACAAUGAAUAUAUUUUAACGAUCUAUCUACGUGAAUGUAAUGAUUAAUUAAAAAUUUCUCUAUGGAAGAUAUAUUGUAUAAUAUGAAAUACGUAAAAAAAAAAAAAAAAAAAAAAAGGGUAGUAAAAAUAUUUAAAAAAAGUUUAUUCUCUCGCAAAAUCAUUUAAAAUUUAAAAUUAUUUCUCCUAUUGUAUCUUGCACAAUUGAACGUACCAAAAAGCCUUUCUCGUUUUUGAAUCUGUGAUUGAUAAUACGAGGCUUUAUAUUUCAAGACAAUAAACGAUUAUCUUAUUAUCGCUUUUACAAAAGCAUAUGUUACACAAAGCCAAAUCAUACAUAAUAUAUAUAUGUACAAUAUCCAAUAAGUACAUGUCAAGAAUAUAUCUUUGAGUUUUCAUUAAAUAAAAAAAAAAAAAAAAGGAAAAAAAAAGAGAGAGAAAAAGAAAAAAAGAAAAGAAAAAAAAAUGAUACGAGUAAAAAUUGUUCAAUUAUAUAGAUUAUAUAUAAAAAUUAAUUUAUGAAAUUUCAAAUCAAAAUUAUCAUCCUGAAAUAAUGCUACAUCGUUACUCUACAUUUGCAUAAUAAUAAUAAUAAUUAUAAUAAUAAUAAUAAUAAUAAUAAUAAUAAUAAUAAUAAUAAUAAUAGUAAUAAUAAUAAUAAUAAUAAUAAUAAUAAUAAUAAUAAUAAUAAUAAUAGUAAUAAUAAUAAUAAUAAUAAUAAUAAUAAUAAUAAUAAUAAUAUGUAUAAAAUGAGGGAACUUCAUUGAGAACUGAUAACCAUAUUUUCAUUUAGAUUUAAAAUGCUUUGUUGAAAUUAUCGUCUACAAUGGCGUCUUAAAAAUCAACUUUGUCAAUGUUUUUUCGUGUAGUUUGAAUGUACGUAUAGGCAAUUUACAAAAUGAUAUAAUCAGGUGCUUCCUUUAUCGAAAAAAAAAAAGAAGGAUGGAAGCUAACAUAUAAGAAAUGAAAAUACAUUAUCAAAAUUUUAAGAAAUUUUCUUUCAUUUGUACCUGUUUCAAUUGAAUUAUUUUCAUCGGAUCUUUCUUUAUAAGGUGAUCUCAUUUUUAUCUAGAAAAUAACUUUCUCUCUUAGGUAAGAAAAACUAUAGAUAAAACCACAAACGAAACUUCUAUCAUAUGUCAUGCUCUAAAUACUGUACGUUGGUAUAUAUAAGGUAUGCUCAUUUCAACUGUCAUAGUAAUAAUCAUUUAACGUAACUAUAAUAAUAUAAUUAUUUUUUGAUUUUAUAUUAUGUUAAUCUUACAGAAAAUAUCUUUUAUAUGUUGUCUUUUUCUAUGGUUGAUAGUGCAUGUAUCGUCAGAAGAUAAUAAGUCAGACAAAUCGUAUUACAAAAAAUAUGAAGAAGUUCCACGUGUAAAAAUAAAAGUAUUUCGUGGUCCAACGGAAGAAAGAAAUGGCGAGACAUUUGCUAAAUGGGGAUUUUGGAUAAAACAACCACGUAACUCAUCUGUACAUAUUGAUUAAUAGAUUAAAACUAAGUUA